UACGUAGGGUGCAAGCGUUGUCCGGAAUUAUUGGGCGUAAAGAGCUCGUAGGCGGUCUGUCACGUCGGCUGUGAAAACCCGAGGCUCAACCUCGGGCCUGCAGUCGAUACGGGCAAACUAGAGUACUGCAGGGGGAGACUGGAAUUCCUGGUGUAGCGGUGGAAUGCGCAGAUAUCAGGAGGAACACCGGUGGCGAAGGCGGGUCUCUGGGCAGUAACUGACGCUGGAGGAGCGAAAGCCGUGGGGAGCGAACAGGA
rnacentral:rRNA from 1 species